rnacentral:lncRNA from 1 species
UGGGUACAGAGGAGCCCUGGCAUUUCUAAGUUGGGAUUAAAUUGCAGGUAUAAAGCAAUUAAAAAGAAGCAGGACCAUACAUGCCAAGAUAGGCAAGACAAAGUCAAUAUCUGGAGCCUUUGUCAGGUAAUUGGAGCAUAUUUCCUCUUCGGGAAAGUACAACCCUCAGCCAUACAUAUAUCAUCAGAAAUUUUUUCAUACAAUUUAUCAUUUCAUAUUCUGAUGC